GUGAGCUCCAGGCAGGUGACCAGCUCUGCCGACUUCUCUAUCUUGUCUCUCUCUCUGAGCCAAAGGGGAGUGUGUGUGUGUAUGUGAACAAGUGUGUGUGGAAAUAAAAACACACCCUGCUAUUCGCACCAUUGCUGCUACUGAGCCUUUCUGACACUGGGCUCUUUUUGGGAAUUGAAAUCAUCCUCCAUCGCAUUGGAUUUAACCUACGGACUGACUUUAUGCUUUGAGGAUAUUCUUUUUGAUUUCCCUUUUUGAACUAUUGCUUGGGGAGGAAGUUCAGCAUGUGAGAAGGAGUGGGCAUCUGCACAUCGGGCACAGGUUCGUGAAACGAGAGCCAGGGAGGAGGAGUGU